rnacentral:lncRNA from 1 species
UUCAAGAGUCACAUCUGCAUCUGGAUGUGAAAAGCAGCUCCACAAAGCCACAGCAACAGGCAGGAUUUGACUUUGGUUUGAAAGACUGCAACCCUGAUGGUUUCGUGUUUAUAGAACGAAGAAGGACAUCUUGUAAAGGCGCCUUUUUAUGUGUGGAGAGACCAUAAAAAUGAGACAGGAAGUAGAUGGCUCUUCCAGCCAGUAGACUCCAUCACUGAAACUUAAGACCUAAUUAGAUCCUUCAAAGCACCUUGGAAGCAAUAAACCACAAAGGUACUUAAGCUGACGACUCA